rnacentral:rRNA from 1 species
AGAGUUUGAUCAUGGCUCAGGACGAACGCUGGCGGCGUGCUUAACACAUGCAAGUCGAACGAUGAAGCCCAGCUUGCUGGGUGGAUUAGUGGCGAACGGGUGAGUAACACGUGAGUAACCUGCCCUUGACUUCGGGAUAACUCCGGGAAACCGGGGCUAAUACCGGAUAUGAGCUACCUUCGCAUGGGGGUGGUUGGAAAGUUUUUCGGUCAGGGAUGGGCUCGCGGCCUAUCAGCUUGUUGGUGGGGUGAUGGCCUACCAAGGCGACGACGGGUAGCCGGCCUGAGAGGGCGACCGGCCACACUGGGACUGAGACACGGCCCAGACUCCUACGGGAGGCAGCAGUGGGGAAUAUUGCACAAUGGGCGCAAGCCUGAUGCAGCGACGCCGCGUGAGGGAUGAAGGCCUUCGGGUUGUAAACCUCUUUCAGCAGGG